AACGAACGCUGGCGGCAUGCCUAACACAUGCAAGUCGAACGAGACCUUCGGGUCUAGUGGCGCACGGGUGCGUAACGCGUGGGAACCUGCCCUUAGGUUCGGAAUAACUCCCCGAAAGGGGUGCUAAUACCGGAUAAUGUCUUCGGACCAAAGAUUUAUCGCCUUUGGAUGGGCCCGCGUUGGAUUAGCUAGUUGGUAGGGUAAAAGCCUACCAAGGCGACGAUCCAUAGCUGGUCUGAGAGGAUGAUCAGCCACACUGGGACUGAGACACGGCCCAGACUCCUACGGGAGGCAGCAGGGGGGAAUAUUGGACAAUGGGCGAAAGCCUGAUCCAGCAAUGCCGGGUGAGUGAUGAAGGCCUUAGGGUUGUAAAGCUCUUUUACCCGGGAUGAAAUGACAGUACCGGGAGAAUAAGCUCCGGCUAACUCCGUG
rnacentral:rRNA from 1 species